UACGGAGGGUGCAAACGUUGCUCGGAAUUAUUGGGCGUAAAGCGCACGUAGGCGGUUUGUUAUGUCGGAUGUGAAAGCCCUCGGCUUAACCGAGGAAGUGCAUCUGAAACUGGCAAGCUUGAGUACAGAAGAGGGUCUCGGAAUUCCCGGUGUAGAGGUGAAAUUCGUAGAUAUCGGGAGGAACACCAGUGGCGAAGGCGGAGACCUGGGCUGAUACUGACGCUGAGGUGCGAAAGCGUGGGGAGCAAACAGG
rnacentral:rRNA from 1 species